UGGGUCUGUGAGAACCAGACCCACAUCCAUGUUGAACACUAGUUGUAAUUGUUAUGGCUCCAUGGUUAAAGAAGGGGCAGUCUGGAAUUGUCCAAGUGGCAGGGUGACUGGUCGCUUUGCUGUUUGAAUCCCAGAUUGACUCUUUAUUAAGUCUAUCUGAAGGAGUUGUGUUGAAUAUCCAUGUGAGGUUUUAAGCAGUUUUAGUAUUUAUUUGUAAUAACUGACAACAUUAUAUCAGAAAUUAUUAUGGACUCCAGUGCACUAAAUAUACAGUAGAAAUGAUCAGGUGUAGUAUUAGUAGUGAAGUAUACAUGCAUACCAUUAUGUUUAUUUAACUGAGCAAGUCCGUUAAAGAACAAAUUCUUAUUUACAAUGACAGUCUAGGUAACAGUGGGUUAACUGCCUUGUUCAGGGGCAAAACGACAGAUGUUUACCAUGUCAGCUCAAGGAUUCAAUCCAGCAACCUUUCGGUUAUUGGCCCAACGCUCUAACCACUAGGCUACAUGCCGCCCCAUGUAAUGUAUUGUAGUGAAUUUGGGGCCUAGUCCCUCAUCCAGCGACUGUCAACACAACACCUCAGUCGUUACACCAAGAGAUAUGAAACCCUUGAUGAGGUUGCUAGGUGUUGGGUUAAGGUCACUACAGUAUUAACUCAGUAUAGACCAGGUUAUGAGGUUGCUAGGUGUUGGGUUAAGGCCACUACAGUAUAAACUCAGUAUAGACCAGGUUAUGAGGUUGCUAGGUGUUGGGUUAAGGUCACUACAGUAUAAACUCAGUAUAGACCAGGUUAUGAGGUUGCUAGGUGUUGGGUUAAGGCCACUACAGUAUAAACUCAGUAUAGACCAGGUUAUGAGGUUGCUAGGUGUUGGGUUAAGGUCACUUCAGUAUAGACCAGGUUAUGAAGUUGCUAGGUGUUGGGUUAAGGUAACUACAGUAUUAACUCAGUAUAGACCAGGUUAUGAGGUUGCUAGGUGUUGGGUUAAGGUCACUACAGUAUUAACUCAGUAUAGACCAGGUUAUGAGGUUGCUAGGUGUUGGGUUAAGGUCACUACAGUAUAAACUCAGUAUAGACCAGGUUAUGAAAUUGCUAGGUGUUGGGUUAAGGUCACUACAGUAUAAACUCAGUAUAGACCAGGUUAUGAGGUUGCUAGGUGUUGGGUUAAGGUCAGUAUCAACUAGGUUGUGGGGACUGUCUGGUAAUUAGUCAAAUCUUAUGUCAUUGGUGUAGAAAAAGUAAUAAUCAAUAUGCUGGAUGUAUUAUAAACAUUGUAUUGUGAAGACAUGUUUUAUUUAGUUAAUGUCAUUACACUAGACCAAAACCUGUC
rnacentral:lncRNA from 1 species